UACGUAGGGUGCAAGCGUUGUCCGGAAUUAUUGGGCGUAAAGAGCUCGUAGGCGGUCUGUCGCGUCGGCUGUGAAAACCCGGGGCUCAACCCCGGGCCUGCAGUCGAUACGGGCAGACUAGAGUGCGGUAGGGGAGACUGGAAUUCCUGGUGUAGCGGUGAAAUGCGCAGAUAUCAGGAGGAACACCGGUGGCGAAGGCGGGUCUCUGGGACGUAACUGACGCUGAGGAGCGAAAGCGUGGGGAGAGAACAGG
rnacentral:rRNA from 1 species